rnacentral:lncRNA from 14 species
GAGGUUUCUGAGCCUGUGAGUGCCCUACCACAGCUCUCCCCUACAGGUUGGCCUGACUUCUGUGACCCUGUGACUCCCAGUGUGCUCUUUGCUGGGAGGAGCCUUCUAUUGUACAUAAAGGCUGGUGAACGGAGGAAUCCCUUCCUGUGGACAGGGUAGCCCUGAUGAAAACCGGACUCAACACAUG